CUUGGACCAUGUGUGUAAUUCGAGCGUGGGACUGUGCAAUUCUCGGAUUGGGAAAGGGAGGAGUGGAAAUAACCCCGGCAGUGCCAGGCUUGCUGGUGGUCAGGAACAGAUGAUUCCAGCCCUGUGCUGAUCGCCUGCCUUCCUCCUGCCAUUCAGAAUGCUGCUGUCUCGUGUACUUACUGUUAAGGAUCCUGGAAAAGGGAGUGGUUCCUCCUAGCUGCAAACAAGGGCGCUACUUUUCUUUUCUCUUUAAUAGAAUUACGUUUUAUAGGUGUGUCUAGGCAACACAAGGGAAUGUGAAAGACUUUCAGAGGGAAUGUUUGUGAAUACAUCUGGUGUGUACUAAAAAGCUGGAAAACCCCUAAGUAAAUGCAAUAUCGAUAGAAAGCGAGUUUCUUGAAGAGUCAUCUGCUAAACUCCACUAGAGUCAUCUCUACAGGUGUGGUUAAGAGAAAAAAAAAUUGCCAUUAAGGAAUCAGCAAAUAGGAUGUCUGAAGUGAGGAUAUAGCACCUAUCUCUGAGAUUAAAGUCAUCUGAUCAAAAAUGAUGCCUCUGAGACUAUAACAAAGGAAUGAAUAAUGAAAUAUAAGAAUGGGGAUUCUGCACUAACUCUAUGGGGAAGAAAACAAUGGUAAGAGCAAAAGGAUCAACAGCAGCAACUCCUGUUUCCAUCGAUUUGUUUAUAAGAUGCCGUCUACAUUAUUCCAAAAUAUCCCAGCCUUUUUCUCCCCUGUCAAGCUUCCCUGUCUCUAAAAGAGAUCUUGCUCUUCCUGCACAGAAAGAAAUAAUAAUAUAUCACUGAAAUAUUAUUAUUACAUUUAAAGUUACUUACACUCUUUCCCAUUCCUAUAAUUUCCUAGUUGGAAGCCCUCGCACUUGGGAAAUUAUUUAAUGUGAUUUUUUCUCCCUG
rnacentral:lncRNA from 1 species